rnacentral:rRNA from 1 species
UUGGAGGGCAAGUCUGGUGCCAGCAGCCGCGGUAAUUCCAGCUCCAAUAGCGUAUAUUAAAGUUGUUGCAGUUAAAAAGCUCGUAGUUGAAUUUCGAGAUCAAAUUGUUGGUCGUGCCUCGGUACGCACUGGCAUUAUUGAUUUCUCCCUUCUGAAGAACCACGAUGUCAUUAAUUUGGUGUCAUGGGGAAUCAGGACUGUUACUUUGAAAAAAUUAGAGUGUUUAAAGCAGGCUCACGCUUGAAUACAUUAGCAUGGAAUAAUGAAAUAGGACGUUUGAUUCUAUUUUGUUGGUUUCUAGGAUCGACGUAAUGAUUAAUAGGGAUAGUUGGGGGCAUUAGUAUUCAAUUGUCAGAGGUGAAAUUCUUGGAUUUAUUGAAGACUAACUACUGCGAAAGCAUUUGCCAAGGAUGUUUUCAUUAAUCAAGAACGAAAGUUAGGGGAUCGAAGACGAUCAGAUACCGUCGUAGUCUUAACCAUAAACUAUGCCGACUAGGGAUCGGAUGAUGUUAAUUUUUUAAUGACUCAUUCGGCGCCUUACGGGAAAC